UACGUAGGGGGCAAGCGUUGUUCGGAAUUACUGGGCGUAAAGGGCGCGUAGGCGGCAGGCCAAGUCGGGUGUGAAAGCCCGGGGCUCAACCCCGGAAUGUCUUUCGAAACUGGCCAGCUGGAGUGCGGAAGAGGCAACUGGAAUUCCCAGUGUAGCGGUGAAAUGCGUAGAUAUUGGGAAGAACACCUGAGGCGAAAGCGGGUUGCUGGGCCGACACUGACGCUGAGGCGCGAAAGCCAGGGGAGCAAACGGG
rnacentral:rRNA from 1 species